GACGAACGCUGGCGGCGUGCUUAACACAUGCAAGUCGAACGGAAAGGCCCUGCUUUUGUGGGGUGCUCGAGGGGCGAACGGGUGAGUAACACGUGAGUAACCUGCCCUAGACUUUGGGAUAACUUCAGGAAACUGGGGCUACUACCGGAUAGGAGCUCCCGCUGCAUGGUGGGGGUUGGAAAGUUUCGGCGGUUGGGGAUGGACUCGCGGCUUAUCAGCUUGCUGGUGGGGUAGUGGCUUACCAAGGCUUGGACGGGUAGCCGGCCUGGGAGGGUGACCGGGCACAUUGGGACUGAGGGACGGCCCAGACUCCAACGGGAGGCAACAGGGGGGAAUAUUGCACAGUGGGCGGGAGCCUGAUGCAGAAGCGCCGCGUGCGGGAUGACGGCCUUCGGGUUGUGAACCGCUUUCGCCUGUGACGAAGCGUGAGUGACGGUAAUGGGUAAAGAAGCACCGGCUAACUACGUG
rnacentral:rRNA from 1 species